rnacentral:hammerhead_ribozyme from 1 species
AUUCAACUGACGAGUCCCAAGUAGGACGAAACGCGCGUCGUGGAU